CUGAGAAGCAUCAGCAAUUGUGAGGUGGCGAAUGUGCAGGAGACUGUUAGAUUUAUGAUUUCUCAAUUAUCAGGCCAUCCGAGUUGAAAUGUGUUGCCCUGAACACUAAUGCAAACUGCUAUGAUUGGGUGCGAGUGCCUAUAAAUAUUUGGAAAAAUUCCGAACUCGGGCAGUUCCUUUUGUUAAAUCGUACAAUUCAGCAGACCACACAAACUCUCCCACUAUCUCUUCAGCCACAUCAGCAGAGGAAAUUGUGCAGUAACUUUAGUACUCAGAGAUAUGAUCCACAUGCCUAAUAGAGAUCAAUCUUGACACCAACAUUCGAAUCCCACUAAUUCAUACUGCUGUGUAGACAACUUAACAUCUGUCAAAUAUUGUAUAUUUGUUAAGUUUAGUCUUUCCUUUCCAGCUUACCUUGUACAAUUCUAUAUAUUUGACAUCUACUGAAUGAAUUCUUUGUCUUGAUCAAAA